CAUUACAGAACCUACGUCGUCUCCGUCGCUCACUUUUUGCCUCUAAUGAGGUUCAUUAUCUGCAUCCUCAGUUUUCCCUCUUUUGCGAAACCUUUCCAUUCAUGUUCAAAAUACAGGCUGACAUUCACGAAGUAGCGAUGGCUUCUAUUCUCUUUAGCGGUUGCUCUCGGCUCCACGGCGUCUGUUCCCGAUUGCCAAUCGCAUGACAGCUAGCUUUUUUCUUCAUUGUUGUCCUUCUUGGUGGCGAGGGUCCAUUGCGGCCCACAAGGCAUCCAGCCCGCUCCUGCACAUUGACUCUCCAGUAUACGCUCCAGAGGAGAUUACUUCGCGCACGAGCUCCACCCGUUCCAGGAGCGACUGUCAUUACUUCUACAUACUCUCGCCGAUGGCGUCCUGCUGGCAGACUCGACUGUCCUCCUCACCAUGCACUACUGCUGGCUCUGAGCUCAUUUUCGAUUGCGGUCAACAAGGACUCUCCGGUCUACUCUCCAGAGGAGAUUACUUCGCGCACGAGCACCGCCCGUUCCAGGAGCGACUGUCAUUACUUCUACAUUCUCUCGCCGAUGGCGUCCUGCUGGCAGACUCGACUGUCCUCCUCACCAUGCACUACUGCUGGUUCUGAGCUCAUUUUCUAUUGGUGUCCACAAGGACACCCAGCCCGCUCCUGCACAUUGACUCUCCGGUCUACUCUCCAGAGUCGCUUACUUCGAGCUCCACUCGUCCUGUGACGGACCAUGUUUGCAUAGCUACAUUCUCUCGCGGAUGGCGUCCUACUGGUAUACUGGACAUAUCCUGGAGCCCUUGUACUUAAUUAUGGUUGCGAGGGUGUUAUCGCUUGUGGCACGAGAUAAUUGUUCGACCACGCUCAUUUACGACAAGGACACUCCUGGCCUUCAAGAGCGACAAUCUUGCCCGAUCGUCCUGCGCAGACUAAGCAGCAAGCUUCCUCUGACCUCUGAAACCGUCGUGCGCCUCCGUCUUCGCUGUGUCCUGCACUGUGAUGGCGGCGUGUUAAGGCUCUGAAGGACUGCUUGCAGUCGCCGUCCCGCGACCGUCCAUCAGAUGUACUUCUGCAGUUCUUCUGUUUGCUUUUUUAUUUUUUACGCAGGCAUAUUUAAUGUUUCGUAUAGCAAGCUUUUCUGCUUUGAAAGAGUGGUACGUCACUCAGCGAAUGGAUGACGCUUCUAGCAAUUAUGAGAAUACGAAGCAGAACAGUAAAGUCUGGUUACGUAGACCACCCAGUUUUUCAGAAGGGUUGUUGGUCUUCACGAGCCGAUCUGUAAAUUUUUGGUGGCGAGAGUAAUGGACAUUCAUUCACAUUGUGCACUUUCGUAGUAGUACGUUGUGUGUGUGUGUGUGUGUGUGUGUGUGUGUGUGUGUGUGUGUGUGUGUGUGUGUGUGUGUCUCGGUUGCGCGCGUACUGGUUCGGUCAUUUCGUAUGUACACACCUUUUCUGGGCUCCUUUUGUUAUAUCGAACGCAUGUAUGACAAAGCUUCAGCGCUAUUCGGCGCACGUCGGAUUCAUUAUAUUUCGGUAGCAUUUCCAGUGUCACCGUUGUAUCCACAAUGCGAGUUGAUGGUUCAUUUCUCCGGUUCAUCCCGGUUAAAAAGCUGCCUGGUUUCAUCCGCUUUUGGAUUGGUUGAACAACUCCUGUCUUUGGCUUUGUACCUUGGGUUGAUCUCGGUACUCGUUUCAGCAUUCAGCGAUUUGUUAAGGCAUCCUUCUCGUAUCGGAAACGAGGGCUUCGUACAUAUUGUCGGUUCUUCCACGUCGCUCAUCACCGACUCAAGAGAUCAACAUGCCACUACAAAAGCACACAAUGCCAAUGAAUGGGAAAGAGGGUAGUUAUUCUCGCCAGCAAAAAUUUUCUGAUUAGCUCAUGAUAAUGACGACCAUUUUAAAAACUGGUUGGUGAUCAAUUUCGCCAUGCUCGCUGUUCCUAGUUUUGAUGUGCCUGAAUCAUUAAAUGCUUUUAUGGAUAUGAGCAUCCUCUAUGAAAUGUGUUCACGCCGUGCGUUGUCUGCGUCACUUAUCGGCACGUAAACUUGCGGUUCGUAAGAUAUGUGAGCCGUGGAAACUCGCAGAAAUUUGUUGCCAUCGUAGACGCACGAGUUGGAGCAGCGUACGGCUGCUCGACGAGGCACAGUAGGAUGUAUCUCUGCCUGGUCCAAAAUUAAUUGCUUGUCGUUUUUUCAUCGGACAGUGCUACCCACUGUCGCCACCACGUAUACUGUGCCGCAUUGGCGCCGUGGUUUGAUUGGGAUGUGUUGCAUAAUCGUGCACUGCGCAAGGUCAGUAAUAACAGCGAACCGCCAUGGCGCCCUUGACGGGUCUCUGGGUCGGUAUUUUGUAGCGAUGCCUGUCCGGUAAUAAUGCCUUUUCGCGCUUUGUCAGUGAUCAGAGCGACGGUCCGCUCCCGUUAUCAACGGGAUCAGCCGGCCGUGAGUGAUGGAUAAGACUAAUAUAGAAUAAGUCGUAAGGCAUCGCUACAAAAUACCGGUCCUGAUCUCGUUGCCUGCUGACUGUAGAGAUGACGGUUUUGUCAUGCCGUGAUUGAAGUAUACUGCUUGAGCCAUUGUCAAACGGCGGCUUCAAAGGGGCUAUAUUUACUCCUCCUUAUGCAAAAUCAUGUGUAAACAUAGACAAAGUGCACGAGCGCGCGCAAUGCAAUCUCCCAAAGAAAAUGUUCGCUUUAGUUGUAUUUAUUGUUUAAGCGACUAGUUUACCACAGUUUCUCUUGUACCUUGUUUUUACUGUACGCUGUGUUGAUAUCUUUACAUUGCUCUUCGAAUGCAUUUGAAUGCGCUUGCUUAAAAUAGUUGUAAUUUGACCAUGCUUCCGCUGUUGUCCUAAUGUCGAUUUAAGGACGCACACCUUGAAUUUUAUUUUCAAUUUUAUCGGUAACCUCUAAUAACAUUGUCCCCACAUUGCUUGAAAACUAAAAAGGUGAGCAAUGUCAUUGGCAAAUAAUUACCUGUACCGCUGUGAUGCGAAAGUCAAACCACGCAUGCGUAAUGCUGCUCAAAAUGUCGCCUAACAUGUACAAGGCUCUACGGAGCCUUUCUGUAGGAAGUCUUUUUUUCAUUUCGAUCAGUUAUAACGACAGCCCUGCCGUCGAAUACUCACAAGCAGUGUACAAUACGAGCAGUGUGGAGAUUUGGACUUGCGUUACGUUGAAAAAGCCUUCAACACAACUGGUACAUGGACGCAGAGAAAGAACACACCCACACAGCACUCAAUUUACAAUACGACAGCGAUGCACGACAUUACUGUACAUUGAGAGGCCUGUGUGAUAUUGUAUGUGACGUAUUAUAUAGUAUCGUCAUGUAGAAAUGUUUUUGUCCCUUCUGUGCAUUCCGCACCCAACUGGGCAAGUUCGCAUACUUGCAUGCUUUCUCGUUUCCUAAAAACUAGAAUCGGGGUAAAUUCCCUUCCAUCUCCAUGCGAAGGUACUGUACAACGCUUGCUCGUUUCAGGUAGUUCUAAUAGCUUACAGCUGUAAAACCUUUCAUGUAUAUGCAAAUAAAGACGUAAGUUGCUAUUCCUUGGAUUAUGCUAUUUCGCUUUCAUUUGGUGUGUUUUACGAAAACAGUGUUUUGCAUUUUUGUACGUCAGAGUAUCUUGAAGCUCAAAUUAUCUAUGCGAUGUAAAUCACGUUAUGUAUUUGAUGUGCGUUUGUAUAUAAAUGCACACAUGCUUAUUCUCAUUCUGUAUAUUGAAUCCACUCUAUGCUGCUGUCUGCAGCAUGGGGAUAAAGUCCAAUCAGGUGGCAUUGAGUCACUUUCAAUUACUUCAGUCUUGUUUUGCGCCGAGUGUAUUCAACAUGCAAACUGAACCCUACGAAUAUCCUGCCAAAUAAAACUUCUGU